GAAGAGAAAUAGAAGGCGCGCUGAUGAACGAUCGAAACUUGAAGGGGGUGAGUAAAGCUAAGGGGAACGUCAGAGCAGAUGAGCCCUAAAAUAUGUACUUUGCCCUUAGACUAUUCAAAUUGUGCUAACAAUAGUUAGGAAUUGCACACCUUUGCCUUUCACACUACCAACCAAUCGUUAGAGCAUCUCCAACUGCCUAAGCAGAUGGAGUUUUUCACUCAAGAGGCGAGAUCAAGCACCGAAAUGGCAGACCCAGCAGCCUAGCUUCACGGUCGUCAAUCUGGCGUUCCGCUACAGUAACUCGUUGGUCCGAGCGAGCUACUGUAGCACUCGGUUGGUCCCCUCUCUCUCUCCCCUUGCCUUCACAACCACCAGAUCUGCCCGUUGUUGGUGUUGUUUGGCUCCGACGAGGGUAAGAAAGGAUACCCCUUCUCUGUCUUCUCUUCUUCUUCUAUGACAUGGGUGCAAUAUUCUGAAAAUUACUCGAUUGAGGGUUGCAAUUUUUGAGAUUUUCAGUGGGUUUCUGAAAAAUUACCGAUUGUGGGUUGCAAUUUUUGAGAUUUCAAGUGCGUUUCUGAAAAAUUAGUAAUUGUGGGUGGCAAUUUUUGAGAUUUCCAGUGGAUUGCAAUUUUCUUGGAGUAGAGAGAGAGAGGGGUAUGGCUGGUGGUGGUUACUAUGGAGGUGUCGGAGUUGGUGGUCACAGUGAAGAGGUGUUGUCGGGUUUUUUGUUUUGUUUUGUACUAUUAUUGUUUAUUAGUAUUUGCUUAGCCUAAAUUGCCUUGGCUGUUGGGAACUUCAAUUAUUUUGUGGCUAGCUAAACCAGUUUUUGAGGUAAUUCCUUGCUUAAAUGGCUAGAAACAGUUUGAGU